rnacentral:rRNA from 1 species
AUUGAACGCUGGCGGCAUGCCUAACACAUGCAAGUCGAACGAGUGGCGGACGGGUGAGUAAUGUCUGGGAACCUGCCUGAUGUAGGGUGAUAACUACUGUAAACGGUAGCUACUACCGCAUACCCUCAGAUGUGCCCAGAUGGGAUUAGCUUGUUGGUGGGGUAACGGCUCACCAAGGCCACGAUCCCUAGCUGGUCUGAGAGGAUGACCAGCCACACUGGAACGGAGACACGGUCCAGACUCCUACGGGAGGCAGCAGUGGGGAAUAGUGCACAAUGGGCGAAAGCCUGAUGCAGCCAUGCCGCGUGUAUGAAGAAGGCCUUCGGGUUGUAAAGCACUUUCAGCGGGGAGGCGUUACCCGCAGAAGAAGCACCGGCUAACUACGUGCCAGCAGCCGCGGUAAUAC